rnacentral:rRNA from 1 species
AGUGAACGCUGGCGGUAGGCCUAACACAUGCAAGUCGAACGGCAGCACAGAGGAGCUUGCUCCUUGGGUGGCGAGUGGCGGACGGGUGAGGAAUACAUCGGAAUCUACUCUGUCGUGGGGGAUAACGUAGGGAAACUUACGCUAAUACCGCAUACGACCUACGGGUGAAAGCAGGGGAUCUUCGGACCUUGCGCGAUUGAAUGAGCCGAUGUCGGAUUAGCUAGUUGGCGGGGUAAAGGCCCACCAAGGCGACGAUCCGUAGCUGGUCUGAGAGGAUGACCAGCCACACUGGGACUGAGACACGGCCCAGACUCCUACGGGAGGCAGCAGUGGGGAAUCUUGGACAAUGGGGGCAACCCUGAUCCAGCGAUACCGCGUGUGUGAAGAAGGCCUUCGGGUUGUAAAGCACUUUAGGUGGGGAAGAAAAGUAUAUUGUGAAUAACAGUUUGCGCUGACGGUACCCGCAGAAUAAGCACCGGCUAACUCUGUGCCAGCAGCCGCCGUAA